rnacentral:rRNA from 1 species
AUUGAACGCUGGCGGCAGGCCUAACACAUGCAAGUCGAACGGUAACAGGAAACAGCUUGCUGUUUCGCUGACGAGUGGCGGACGGGUGAGUAAUGUCUGGGAAACUGCCUGAUGGAGGGGGAUAACUACUGGAAACGGUAGCUAAUACCGCAUAACGUCGCAAGACAAAAGAGGGGGACCUUCGGGCCUCUUGCCAUCGGAUGUGCCCAGAUGGGAUUAGCUAGUAGGUGGGGUAACGGCUCACCUAGGCGACGAUCCCUAGCUGGUCUGAGAGGAUGACCAGCCACACUGGAACUGAGACACGGUCCAGACUCCUACGGGAGGCAGCAGUGGGGAAUAUUGCACAAUGGGCGCAUGCCUGAUGCAGCCAUGCCGCGUGUAUGAAGAAGGCCUUCGGGUUGUAAAGUACUUUCAGCGGGGAGGAAGGGAGUAAAGUCAAUACCUUUGCUCAUUGACGUUACCCGCAGAAGAAGCACCGGCUAACUCCGUGCCAGCAGCCGCGGUAA